rnacentral:rRNA from 1 species
UGCUUGACGAACGGCCGCGAGUUCGAGCUUGGUCUUAUCGAUGGGGAGUGGCGGACGAGUGAGGAAUACUUCGGAAUCUACCUUUUCGUGGGUUAUAACGUAGUUUAAACUUACGCUAAUACCGCAUACGACCUUCGCGUGAGAGCUGGUGACCUUCGGGCCUUGCGCGGAUAGAUGAACCGAUGUCGUAUUAGCUAGUUGGCGGACUUGAGGCCCACCAAGGCGACGAUCCGUAUCUGGCCUGAGCCGGGGAAAACUCUAACUGGAACUGAGACACGGUCCAGACUCCUACGGGAGGCAGCAGUGGGGAAUAUUGGACAAUGGGCGCAAGCCUGAUCCAGCCAUACCGCGUGGGUGAAGAAGGCCUUCGGGUUGUAAAGCCCUUUUGUUGGGAAAGAAAAGCAAUCGAUUAAUACUCGGUUGUUCUGACGGUACCCAAAGAAUAAGCACCGGCUAACUUCGUGCCAGCAGCCGCGGUAAUACGAAGGGUGCAAGCGUUACUCGGAAUUACUGGGCGUAAAGCGUGCGUAGGUGGUUGUUUAAGUCUGUUGUGAAAGCCCUGGGCUCAACCUGGGAAUUGCAGUGGAUACUGGGCAACUAGAGUGUGGU